AUUGAACGCUGGCGGCAUGCCUAACACAUGCAAGUCGAACGGCAGCACGGCAGUAGCAAUACUGUGGGUGGCGAGUGGCGGACGGGUGAGGAAUACGUCGGAAUCUGCCCAGUCGUGGGGGAUAACUAGCCGAAAGGUUAGCUAAUACCGCAUACGACCGAGAGGUGAAAGCGGGGGACCGCAAGGCCUCGCGCGAUUGGAUGAGCCGACGUCGGAUUAGCUAGUUGGAGGGGUAAAGGCCCACCAAGGCGACGAUCCGUAGCUGGUCUGAGAGGAUGAUCAGCCACACUGGAACUGAGACACGGUCCAGACUCCUACGGGAGGCAGCAGUGGGGAAUAUUGGACAAUGGGCGCAAGCCUGAUCCAGCAAUGCCGCGUGUGUGAAGAAGGCCUUCGGGUUGUAAGACGACUUUAUCUAGGACGAAAAGACGUUGGAGUUAAUACUACUG
rnacentral:rRNA from 1 species